AACGAACGCUGGCGGCAUGCCUAACACAUGCAAGUCGAACGAUAUCUUCGGAUCUAGUGGCGCACGGGUGCGUAACGCGUGGGAAUCUGCCCUUGGGUUCGGAAUAACUCAGAGAAAUUUGAGCUAAUACCGGAUGAUGACGUAAGUCCAAAGAUUUAUCGCCCAAGGAUGAGCCCGCGUAGGAUUAGCUAGUUGGUGAGGUAAAGGCUCACCAAGGCGACGAUCCUUAGCUGGUCUGAGAGGAUGAUCAGCCACACUGGGACUGAGACACGGCCCAGACUCCUACGGGAGGCAGCAGUGGGGAAUAUUGGACAAUGGGCGAAAGCCUGAUCCAGCAAUGCCGCGUGAGUGAUGAAGGCCUUAGGGUUGUAAAGCUCUUUUACCCGGGAUGAUAAUGACAGUACCGGGAGAAUAAGCUCCGGCUAACUCCGUGCCAGCCGCCGCGGUAA
rnacentral:rRNA from 1 species